ACUAGUAGUUACCACAGUAUUAUUUAAUUAUAGCUUUACAUUUUAAAGUUAACAAGUUAUUUUUUUCUAUUUCAAAUGCUCUGCAUACAUAACUAAACAGGAAGCUCAAAAGCAACAGGAUGGCAAGGAUUUUGAGACCAAGAUGUACAUCCUGCAGACUUACAGACCAAGAUGAAGUACAUCCUGCUGAUUUACAGACCAAAAUAAAAUACAAUCUGCUGAUUUACAGACCAAAAUAAAGUACAUUCUGCUGAUAUACAGACCAAAAUAAAGUAAAAUCUGCUGAUUUUCAGACCAAAAUAAAGUACAUUCUGAUGAUUUACAGACACUUGCAUGGGCUGCUUGUAAUAAAAGUGUCUGUAGAUAA
rnacentral:sRNA from 1 species